rnacentral:rRNA from 1 species
AUUGAACGCUGGCGUCAGGCUUAAUACAUGCAAGUCGAGCGAGCGGCGGACGGGUGAGGAAUGUCUGGGAAACUGCCUGAUGGAGGGGGAUAACUACUGGAAACGGUAGCUACUACCGCAUACCAUCAGAUCUGCCCAGAUGGGAUGAGCUAGUGGGUGGGGUAAUGGCUCACCUAGGCGACGAUCCCUAGCUGGUCUGAGAGGAUGACGAGCGAAACUGGAAAUGAGAAAAGGACAAGACUCGUACGGGAGGCAGCAGGGGGGAAGGUUGCAGAGUGGGCGCAAGUCUGAUGCAGCCAUGCCGCGUGUGGGAAGAAGGAAAUAGGGUUGUAAAGCACUUUCAGCGAGGAGGCGGUACUCUCAGAAGAAGCACCGGCUAACUCCGUGCUAGCAGCCGCGGUAAUUC